rnacentral:rRNA from 1 species
GACGAACGCUGGCGGCGUGCUUAACACAUGCAAGUCGAACGGAAAGGCCCUGCUUUUGUGGGGUGCUCGAGUGGCGAACGGGUGAGUAACACGUGAGUAACCUGCCCUUGACUUUGGGAUAACUUCAGGAAACUGGGGCUAAUACCGGAUAGGAGCUCCUGCUGCAUGGUGGGGGUUGGAAAGUUUCGGCGGUUGGGGAUGGACUCGCGGCUUAUCAGCUUGUUGGUGGGGUAGUGGCUUACCAAGGCUUUGACGGGUAGCCGGCCUGAGAGGGUGACCGGCCACAUUGGGACUGAGAUACGGCCCAGACUCCUACGGGAGGCAGGAGUGAGGAAUAUUGCACAAUGGGCGGAGGCCUGAUGCAGCAACGCCGCGUGCGGGAUGACGGCCUUCGGGUUGUAAACCGCUUUCGCCUGUGACGAAGCGUGAGUGACGGUAAUGGGUAAAGAAGCACCGGCUAACUACGU